GCUAACAUUAGAAUAAAACUUUGUCUCUCUCUCUCUUUUGUUUUUUGAGACAGAGUAGUGUUUUGUGGUUCAGGCUUACUCUAUAUAGCCCAGGCUGGCCUCUAGCUUGCUGUGAUCCUCCUGCCUCCGUCUCUUCAGUGCUGGGAUUACAGGGAUAGGAAUCACUGAACUGCAAACUAGAAGACCGAGGGACCUAGUUCCAGUUUAGUGGGUAACUGUGACUUUGGGCAACGUACUUACUUCCCUGGAUGUCCUCCUCAUUAAAAGGGGGUCUCCGUUGACUUACCCACGGGCCGGGACAAGUGGCGCCCAACGUGGGGCCAGAGAACGGGGGGAUCCAGUGAAGAACGCUGCUCGGGGGCCCAAUAAAAUAAAAUAGAAAAAAGAGGAUUGCGUCUGACGUGAACCUGCCGUCUUUCCUGCACCUCG
rnacentral:lncRNA from 1 species